rnacentral:rRNA from 1 species
UACGAAGGGGGGCUAGCGUUGCUCGGAAUCACUGGGCGUAAAGCGCACGUAGGCGGCUUUCUAAGUCAGGGGUGAAAUCCUGGAGCUCAACUCCAGAACUGCCUUUGAUACUGAGAAGCUUGAGUCCGGGAGAGGUGAGUGGAACUGCGAGUGUAGAGGUGAAAUUCGUAGAUAUUCGCAAGAACACCAGUGGCGAAGGCGGCUCACUGGCCCGGUACUGACGCUGAGGUGCGAAAGCGUGGGGAGCAAACAGG